UACGUAGGGUGCAAGCGUUAAUCGGAAUUACUGGGCGUAAAGCGUGCGCAGGCGGCUUUGCAAGACAGAUGUGAAAUCCCCGGGCUUAACCUGGGAACUGCAUUUGUGUCUGCAUGGCUGGAGUGCGGCAGAGGGGGAUGGAACUCCGCGUGUAGCAGUGAAAUGCGUAGAUAUGCGGAGGAACACCGAUGGCGAAGGCAAUCCCCUGGGCCUGCACUGACGCUCAUGCACGAAAGCGUGGGGAGCAAACAGG
rnacentral:rRNA from 1 species